UAAUACGUAGGUUGCGAGCGUUGUCCGGAUUUACUGGGUGUAAAGCGCGCGCAGGCGGUCUCGAAAGUCCACGGUGAAAGCUCCCGGCCCAACUGGGAGAGGCCCGUGGAAACUUCGAGACUUGAAGAUGGCAGAGGCAGAUGGAAUUUCCGGUGUAGCGGUAAAAUGCGUAGAUACCGGAAGGAACACCAGUGGCGAAGGCGAUCUGCUGGGCCAUCCUUGACGCUCAGGCGCGAAAGCUAGGGUAGCGACCGGGAUUAGAUACCCCGUUAGUCCUAGCCGUAAACAAUGGUCACUAGGUGUUGCAGGUAUCGACCCCCGCAGUGCCGAAGCUAACGCAUUAAGUGACCCACCUGGGGAGUACGGCCGCAAGGCUA
rnacentral:rRNA from 1 species